rnacentral:rRNA from 1 species
UCCUACGGGAGGCAGCAGUGGGGAAUAUUGGACAAUGGGCGCAAGCCUGAUCCAGCCAUGCCGCGUGAGUGAAGAAGGCCUUCGGGUUGUAAAGCUCUUUUGUCCGGAAAGAAAAGCUCUCGGUUAAUACCCGGGGGUUCUGACGGUACCGGAAGAAUAAGCACCGGCUAACUUCGUGCCAGCAGCCGCGGUAAUACGAAGGGUGCAAGCGUUACUCGGAAUUACUGGGCGUAAAGCGUGCGUANGUGGUUCGUUAAGUCUGAUGUGAAAGCCCUGGGCUCAACCUGGGAAUGGCAUUGGAUACUGGCGAUCUAGAGUGCGGUAGAGGGCAGUGGAAUUCCCGGUGUAGCAGUGAAAUGCGUAGAGAUCGGGAGGAACAUCUGUGGCGAAGGCGACUGCCUGGACCAGCACUGACACUGAGGCACGAAAGCGUGGGGAGCAAACAGGAUUAGAUACCCUGGUAGUCCACGCCCUAAACGAUGCGAACUGGAUGUUGGGUGCAACUAGGCACUCAGUAUCGAAGCUAACGCGUUAAGUUCGCCGCCUGGGGAGUACGGCCGCAAGACUGAAACUCAAAGGAAUUGACGGGGGCCCGCACAAGCGGUGGAGUAUGUGGGUUUAAUUCGAUGCAACGCGAAAAACCUUAC